CCUGCUGCUGGAUCAUUACCU
rnacentral:rRNA from 3 species